rnacentral:lncRNA from 1 species
GAAUUCCUGUAGUUGAAGAGUAAGAUUUUGUAUGGUACAUUUUUAAUGACAGCUUGGAUAUUGGAAUACUCAACUUUUGUUGUAGCCAAUGAGCCAGAGGGAUAUGUCACUAAUGGUAUCUAAAUCAUACAGCACGUACUUUAGGAUGGGGACAGUAUCACAACGAUUUAUUUAUUUAUUUACUUAGUGUAUGUGAGUGCACUGUUGGUGUCUUCAGACACACCAGCAGAUGACUUCAGAUCCCAUUACAUAUGGGUUGUGAGCCACCAUGUGGUUGCUGGGAUUUGAACUCUGGACCUCUGGAAGAGCAGUCAGUGCUUGUAACUCUGAGCCAUCUUUCUAGCCCCCCCCCCCCCCGCUAUCUUUUAGAAAUGUAAUUUGCCAUACCUUGAGCAAUGUUCUUGAUGCCAUUAGGAUAUUUCACAGAUAACUUCACUUAAGAUAAUUAGAGCAAA